rnacentral:misc_RNA from 1 species
GAUGAAGAACGUAGCGAAAUGCGAUAAGUAAUGUGAAUUGCAGAAUUCAGUGAAUCAUCGAAUCUUUGAACGCACAUUGCGCCCCCUGGUAUUCCGGGGGGCAUGCCUGUCCGAGCGUCAUUACAACCCUCAAGCUCAGCUUGGUGUUGGGCCCCGCCGCCCCGGCGGGCCCUAAAGUCAGUGGCGGUGCCGUCCGGCUCCGAGCGUAGUAAUUCUUCUCGCUCUGGAGGUCCGGUCGUGUGCUCGCCAGCAACCCCCAAUUUUUUUCAGGUUGAGCUCGGAUCAGGUAGGGAUACCCGCUGAACUUAAGCAUAUCAAUAAGCGGAGGA